rnacentral:rRNA from 1 species
UCUGGUGAUGAUGGCGAAGAGGACACACCCGUUCCCAUGCCGAACACGGAAGUUAAGCUCUUCAGCGCCGAUGGUAGUCGGGGGUUUCCCCCUGUGAGAGUAGGACAUCGCCAGGC